GACGAACGCUGGCGGCGUGCUUAACACAUGCAAGUCGAGCGGUAAGGCCUUUCGGGGUACACGAGCGGCGAACGGGUGAGUAACACGUGGGUGAUCUGCCCUGCACUUCGGGAUAAGCCUGGGAAACUGGGUCUAAUACCGGAUAUGACCUCCUAUCGCAUGGUGGGUGGUGGAAAGAUUUAUCGGUGCAGGAUGGGCCCGCGGCCUAUCAGCUUGUUGGUGGGGUAAUGGCCUACCAAGGCGACGACGGGUAGCCGACCUGAGAGGGUGACCGGCCACACUGUGACUGAGACACGGCCCAGACUCCUACGGGAGGCAGCAGUGGGGAAUAUUGCACAAUGGGCGAAAGCCUGAUGCAGCGACGCCGCGUGAGGGAUGACGGCCUUCGGGUUGUAAACCUCUUUCAGCAGGGACGAAGCGCAAGUGACGGUACCUGCAGAAGAAGCACCGGCUAACUACGUG
rnacentral:rRNA from 1 species